AGCGGUGUUUUCUGAGUCUGCGCGAUUGGAGCUUCGUGAAUUCGGUGGGUGGCAGCCCCUCGGGAAAUGGCGGCGUCGACUGGCCGCUGGUUUGGCUUCGGGUUUAAUCAGUUCGGGCAGGUCGCCAACCGGAGGGAGCGCGAGGGGGACGGGAAGGUCCUGGAGCCCGUCACGGUGACCGUGCACAGCCCGGAGAAAGCCGGACAAUGGCCGGCGGACAGAUCCUCCCUGAGGAAGAUGAGCCCAGCCUGGAGUUACACUGCCUGCCUGGGAGGUGAUGGAUCUACUUAUUUGUUCGGCUUUGUUGAUGGUCGCCCUUGGCAACAGAUGUGCAUUAAUAACCAAGCCCAUCAGGAUUGCACGGACAUCCUGUCCUCUGAGAAGUACUUAUUAAUGUUAUGGCAGGAUAGAGUGGAAUGCAGGGAUAUCCAGAAGCUUUGUACUGGAGAGGUCACGGGUGACUUGACUUGGACGAGGCAGCUGAAGGAAGGGGAAAAGCAAUGUACAGCACUUCCACUGAUCCCUGGUGGGUAUGUCACAACAACACCUCCGUUUUACAAACCAUUGUCACCACAACUUCGUGCGAAAAAGCUGGCACUUGGCAGUGAGCAUGCUGUCCUCCUGAACUGUGAUUUGACAGUGUAUUCCUGGGGCUCAGGACGGCAUGGUCAGUUGGGACAUGGUGGUGUUGAGGAUGAAGCAGAACCACGUAUUGUGGAGGCAUUACAUGGGCUGGCUAUGGCUGAAGUAGCAGCUGGAGGCUGGCAUUCUGUGAGUUCAAGUGCAUCAGGAGAUUUGUAUGUUUGGGGAUGGAAUGAGUCUGGGCAGUUGGGCCUUCCUGCAAAGUCAUGCUCUGAGGAGAAGCAGCGGAAGACCUCUUGGCAGAAGGGGCUCUCAGGAGAGGUCACGCCGUCCUUGAGUGAUGCAAACAACAGGGUUAUAAAAUCUGCAAAUAAGAAAGCAGAUGGGGAUGAUUCUAACGUCUUCAUCUCAAUUCAAGCAUUUCCCGCACUGCUGGAUUUACCAGAAGAGUCAGAGGUCAGCAAAGUCAGCUGUGGGUCACGACAUAGUGCGGUCAUCACCAGGGAAGGUAACCUCUUCACCUGGGGCUGGGGAAAGCAGCAUAAGAACCAAGAAAGCUGAAAAUGAAUCAUUCUAAGAAGACCCAGCAUUGAAUCAAAGAAAGAUCAUUACAGACAAACAACUGCAUGUCAUCAGUGCUGAAAAUUAAAAAAAAGACAAUCACAAUUGUUAUGGACCAGGCCAGAAGCCUCAAAAUAUUUAAGAAGAUGCUGCAUGAACCUUACACAAUUCUGAUGGUCUAAACAUUUUCAAUUCUAACAACUUGAAGAUUUCUACUCAAACAUUUCAGGCUUUGAAGCUCCACAAACAGAAUUGCCUCUGGAGAGGGCAGUGUAACAAGCUGCCUGCUCAGCCUCCUAAACAGGAGUCCAUAUAUUAUUUGGAAAUGUAUCACCAUAAAGUUAACAAGCAGCAUUGGAAAGUAGACCACUGCACUGAUAUCUGUAUUCAGUCAUGAUCAACUACAAUUCUUGAUGUGCACCAUGUUCUUGUAAUGUGCCUCUUAGUAUUGAGUAAAUAUGAUUCACUUGCUUUUAUAAAUUAUAUUUAAUAAGACAUUGCAAUGAAGUACAGGCACCAAUUCAAUUCAUGAAAAUUAUAACACAUACAUAAAAGUGCAAUUGGUGGUACCCAUCCAACCUAUUCCCUACAUUUUGAUUAAACAUUUUUCAAGUAAUUAUCCAGUUUCCCUUAAAAUUUGUGCAUACUCCUUGGCCUUUUUAAUUACAGUUUAAAUCAAAGCUCACCCUAGGAACCAUGACAGUAUUUAAUGCCCGAACAUCACAAACACAGAUGAUCUGGUUGUUUCUGGGCACUUUAUGCGCAAAUCAGCAGCUGUGUUUCAAACAUUAUAACAAUACCCACACAUUUUAAAAGUACUUAAUUGGCAGUAAAAUACUUCAAAAUGUUCCAAUGUGGCAGAAGGGUCCAUAGAAAUGUCUUUCUUUAAAGGCCCCACCUGUGGAAUGUAUCCCAUACUUGAACAUCUUCACGUGGAACACAGGAAUGUGCGGGAAUUUUUAUUUUAAUCAUCCAUCUUUGUAUGUCCACAUUACAUGAACUUUAUGUAACAAACACCAAACAGAAAUCGAUUAUUUAAUGGACUAUGCAAUUGUUCAAUCACCUUUAUAAAAGAAAGUCAACAUAAAGUUCCCCUGAGUUUUCCAAAAGUUAGGAAGAAUGAUUAAUUGCUUCUGAAAACAAUGGUUAAUGAAGAUCCUAUUCUUCAGUCUGUACAUCAUAAUUUCACUCAGAGACAGUGAUGU